rnacentral:rRNA from 1 species
UAGCUACAGGCUUAACACAUGCAAGUCGAGGGGCAGCAUCAUCAAAGCUUGCUUUGAUGGAUGGCGACCGGCGCACGGGUGAGUAACACGUAUCCAACCUGCCGACAACACUGGGAUAGCCUUUCGAAAGAAAGAUUAAUACCGGAUGGCAUAGUUUUCCCGCAUGGGGUAAUUAUUAAAGAAUUUCGGUUGUCGAUGGGGAUGCGUUCCAUUAGGCAGUUGGCGGGGUAACGGCCCACCAAACCAACGAUGGAUAGGGGUUCUGAGAGGAAGGUCCCCCACAUUGGAACUGAGACACGGUCCAAACUCCUACGGGAGGCAGCAGUGAGGAAUAUUGGUCAAUGGACGAGAGUCUGAACCAGCCAAGUAGCGUGAAGGAUGACUGCCCUAUGGGUUGUAAACUUCUUUUAUACGGGAAUAAAGUGAGCCACGUGUGGCUUUUUGUAUGUACCGUAUGAAUAAGGAUCGGCUAACUCCGUGCCAGCAGCCGCGGUAAUACGGAGGAUCCGAGCGUUAUCCGGAUUUAUUGGGUUUAAAGGGAGCGUAGGCGGGUUGUUAAGUCAGUUGUGAAAGUUUGCGGCUCAACCGUAAAAUUGCAGUUGAUACUGGCGACCUUGAGUGCAACAGAGGUAGGCGGAAUUCGUGGUGUAGCGGUGAAAUGCUUAGAUAUCACGAAGAACUCCGAUUGCGAAGGCAGCUUACUGGAUUGUAACUGACGCUGAUGCUCGAAAGUGUGGGUAUCAAACAGGAUUAGAUACCCUGGUAGUCCACACAGUAAACGAUGAAUACUCGCUGUUGGCGAUAUACUGUCAGCGGCCAAGCGAAAGCAUUAAGUAUUCCACCUGGGGAGUACGCCGGCAACGGUGAAACUCAAAGGAAUUGACGGGGGCCCGCACAAGCGGAGGAACAUGUGGUUUAAUUCGAUGAUACGCGAGGAACCUUACCCGGGCUUAAAUUGCAACUGACGGAACCGGAAACGGUUCUCUCUUCGGACAGUUGUGAAGGUGCUGCAUGGUUGUCGUCAGCUCGUGCCGUGAGGUGUCGGCUUAAGUGCCAUAACGAGCGCAACCCUUAUCGAUAGUUACUAGCAGGUCAUGCUGAGGACUCUAUCGAGACUGCCGUCGUAAGAUGUGAGGAAGGUGG